rnacentral:rRNA from 1 species
CACGUAGGGGGCGAGCGUUGUCCGGAAUCAUUGGGCGUAAAGAGCUCGUAGGCGGCUUGGUAAGUCGGGUGUGAAACCCCCAGGCUCAACCUGGGGACGCCACCCGAUACUGCUGUGGCUAGAGUCCAGUAGGGGAGUGUGGAAUUCCCGGUGUAGCGGUGAAAUGCGCAGAUAUCGGGAGGAACACCAGCGGCGAAGGCGGCACUCUGGGCUGGAACUGACGCUGAGGAGCGAAAGCGUGGGUAGCAAACAGG